CCUACGGGGGGCAGCAGUAAGGAAUAUUGGUCAAUGGACGAGAGUCUGAACCAGCCAAGCCGCGUGAAGGAAGACUGCCCUAUGAGUUGUAAACUUCUUUUAUAUGGGAAUAAAAUGGUGCACGUGUGGGAUUUUGUAUGUACCAUACGAAUAAGGAUCGGCUAACUCCGUGCCAGCAGCCGCGGUAAUACGGAGGAUCCGAGCGUUAUCCGGAUUUAUUGGGUUUAAAGGGAGCGUAGGUGGGUUGUUAAGUCAGUUGUGAAAGUUUGCGGCUCAAGCGUAAAAUUGCAGUUGAAACUGUCAGUCUUGAGUGCAGUAGAGGUGGGCGGAAUUCGUGGUGUAGCGGUGAAAUGCUUAGAUAUCACGAAGAACUCCGAUUGCGAAGGCAGCUCACUGGACUGCAACUGACACUGAGGCUCGAAAGUGUGGGUAUCAAACAGGAUUAGAUACCCUAGUAGUC
rnacentral:rRNA from 1 species